AUUGAACGCUGGCGGCAUGCCUUACACAUGCAAGUCGAACGGUAACAGGUCUUCGGAUGCUGACGAGUGGCGAACGGGUGAGUAAUACAUCGGAACGUGCCCAGACGUGGGGGAUAACGAGGCGAAAGCUUUGCUAAUACCGCAUACGAUCUAAGGAUGAAAGCAGGGGGCCGCAAGGCCUUGCGCGUUUGGAGCGGCCGAUGGCAGAUUAGGUAGUUGGUGGGAUAAAAGCUUACCAAGCCGACGAUCUGUAGCUGGUCUGAGAGGACGACCAGCCACACUGGGACUGAGACACGGCCCAGACUCCUACGGGAGGCAGCAGUGGGGAAUUUUGGACAAUGGGCGAAAGCCUGAUCCAGCAAUGCCGCGUGCAGGAUGAAGGCCUUCGGGUUGUAAACUGCUUUUGUACGGAACGAAAAGGCUCUGGCUAAUACCUGGGGCACAUGACGGUACCGUAAGAAUAAGCACCGGCUAACUACGUGCCAGCAGCCGCGGUAAGAC
rnacentral:rRNA from 1 species